CAUACAAGAGGACCCCGGUUCAGGCGUGGAAGUAUGUCCUGUUCUCGUCCUUGAAUGAUAACUUCAAAUAUUAAUGAGGAUAAAUCCUUUGCAGACGACUUAAAUUUAUAAACUAGGUAUUGUAAGCAGUAGAGUAGCCUUGUUGCUACGAUCUGCUGAGAUUAAGCCUGUGUUUACUGAUUUGU
rnacentral:ncRNA from 1 species